AGAAGAAGAAGAAGAAGAAGAAGAAGAAAAAGAAGAAGAAGGUGCCAUCAAGUUGGGUACUCAGAGAAAUGGAGAUGGAUCUGGGAGAGACAGGUAUAUUCGCUACUAUAUUAAUGAGGCCAUCUUUGGUGGAAUCUUCCUGGCCUCGGUCCUAGCUGGGGCAGCCUUCACACUGGGAAGGAGGACAUGCAUUGCCCGUGGCCAAUCCAAGCACUAGGAUGUGAAGAAAAGCCCACUCAGACGUCAUGUGCUUCACAUUUGGUCCCCAGUAUGAUGUUGAGAAGUGGUGGGGCACCGUGGCCCUGUGAUUGGGCACACGAUUGUGACUCUUUACCCUGUGACUGUCCCUUGAUAUCAGUGACAUCUGACUUCACAGGCUCACCUUGGACAGGGUCUGCCUAGCGUCUCAGACUUUUCUGACAUACUGGGACAAGCUAAGAUUUUGGGACUGCUGGGUGUGGGAUGACUAUAUCUUGCCUUGUGAGAAGAAGAACGUGAACUUUUGGAGCUGCUGCUGCAGCACUGAGGCUUGGUUAUGCUUUAAUUACUUCCUCCAAAAUUUCAUGCAUUGGAUUCUUCGCUCCUGCUGUUGUGAUGCUGAAAAGCCUUUAGGAUAUGGGGUAUAAUGGAAAGCAAGUAGGUCUCAAGGGUUCUUCCCUCAAGUUGUUAAUGCAUACCCCUCCAGAGUGUGCUCUGUGCCUGACGCUUCCCUUGAAUUCUUUUCUUGCCAUCAAGAUUUCUGUACUCAUGGGGUAUGCUGGACAGUUUUAUGUCAACUUGACACAAACUAAAUUGAAGGAAGGGAAUCUUAGCUGAGGAAAUACCCCUAAGAUUGGGCUGUGGGAAAGCCUGUAGAGCAUUGAUUAAUUGGUAACUGAUGGGAGAGGGCCCAGCCCAUUGUGGGUGGUGCCAUUCCUGGGCUGGUGGUUCUGAGUUCUGCAUCCUUAAUAAUCAGAGAAAUGCAAACCAAAACAACUCUGAAAUUCCAUCUUACACCUGUAAGAAUGACCAAGAUUAAAAACACUGAUGACAACUUAUGCUGGAGAGGAUGUGGGGUAAAGGGAACACUUCUGCAUUGCUGGUUGGAGUGCAAACUGGUACAGCCGCUUUGGAUAUCAGUGUGGUGAUUUCUCAGAAAAUUAGGAAACAACCUUCCUCAAGACCCAACAAUAUCAUUUUUGGGUAUAUAUCCAAAGGAUGCUCAAUCGUGCCACAAGGACAUGUGCUCAACUAUGUUCAUAGCAGCAUUGUUUGUCAUAGCCAGAACCUGGAAACAACCUAAAUGCCCCUCGACAGAAGAAUGGAUAAGAAAAAUGUGGUACAUUUACACAAUGGAGUACUACACAGCAGAAAAAAAUAAUGACAGCUCGAAUUUUGCAGGAAAAUGGAUGGAAGUAGAAAGCAUUAUUUUGAGUGAGAUAACCCAGACCCAGAAAGACAAUUAUCACAUGUACUCACUCAUAGGUGGUUUUUAAACAUAAAGCAAAGAAAGCCAGCUUUGUAGAAUCACAAUCCCAGAGAACUUAGACAACAAUGAGGACACUGAGAGAGACAUACUUAGAUCUAAUCUACAUGGGAAGUAGAAAGUAGAAAAAGACAGGAUCUCCUGAGUAAAUUGGGAGCAUGGGGACCUUGGGGGAGCGUUGAAAGGAGGAGGGGAGAGGCAGGGAGGGGAGCAGAGUAAAGUGUAGAGCUCAAUAAAAAUCAAUAAUAAUAAUGAUGAUGAUGAUGAUGAUGAUGAUGAUAAAAGCAGGCUGAAGAAGCCAGUAAGCAGCAGCCCUCUAAAGCUUCCACACCAGCUUCUGACUCUAGGUUCCUGCUCUCUUUGGGUUCCUGCUCCGACUUCCUUUGAUGAAUACUGCAUGGACGUGCAAGCUGAACGAACCCUUUCCUCCCUAAGUUUCUUUGGCCACAGUGUUUCACCACAGCUAUAGCAACCCUGAGAUGUGGCUCCGCCAUGAGGCCCUUGUGAGAGCCCAGCAGAUGCUAGCAUCAUGCUCUGGGGUGUCUAGACAAGUGAGAUGAAACCUCCCACCUUUACAAACUGUCCAUCCUUAGCUGCUGUUGUCUGGCAACACGAAACAGUCUAGGAGACCCCGUGCUGGGCACUGCUAAAUCCUACAUGACGAUGCUUUUGCUCUCAGUUUUUUUGAAGUACUUUCAGUUUGGGCCCUUGUAUUUAGGACUUUGAUCCAUUUUGAAUUAAAUUAUGUAAAAGGCACUGGGUGCAAUUCACCCCUUUGCAUGUGGAUACACAGCUUCCCCAGCACAUUGGGCUGAAAGAUUCUUGUCCGCAUUGAGUGGGUUCGGCUCAUUUCCAGGAAUCAUUUGUACAUGCACCAGAGGGCUCAUGUCUGGGUUCUCUGCACCGCACUCUCAUCACCACACGGUGAAGGUAUUAAGUUUCAAAGUCAGAAAGCAAACACCCUCAAGUUUUUUGUCACUAUGACGGGCUGUCUAAUGUUUCUUGUUGUGUUCUGUGUUUUACACAUUUGUUCCCUUCCGGAUGCUUCAUCACGUGACUGGGCCAUGAGAGCCCUGAGCCCAUUCAGUGCCGAAUUAACGCCAUCUCUUCACCUAGCCCCUGGGAAUUUAACCUCUGCCUAAUUUACCACCCCACAUACCAGCCAUUCUUGAAGUCUCUCUAGACGUAGAGAAAAGUCACUGAGUGUCAGGAUCGCAAGCCUGGGUAUUAGCAUCCUGUGGUUCUACAUGGUCCAUUUGAUAAUCUCUCCCACAGUUCAGAGAGUUUCCCUGUGGGGCCAGCAGGGCCUGAGGAUCUAGGGGGCAUGCGUCUAUUCAUAAAGCUGAAAAGAGAAUGCGCACACAGGACAGACGCAAUGGGAAUGGGUGUGGAGGCGGUGCGUGGGCAGCUCUAUGACGCAGAGGAAAACAUGAGUGUGAUAGGACAGCUGGGAUACCCAUGGUCACUGAUGUCACGAACAUGACAUUAGAGUCAAAUGCGGGACAUGAGGCCAAACAAAGCUUUCAGUAGUGCGGACUUGUCCUUCUUCGUGAAAGGCAGCACUGGGUGUCUCUCCUUACUGCUCCUUUUAGACGCUUGGAUUCAAGGUUGGACAAUGGCCUGAACCAGUAAAAGUUAGAGAGGACUGCCAAGCAACUGUCUGCUCAAGAUGACAACAACAACAGCAGCAGCAGCAGCAACAACAACAACAACAACAAGAUGGCUCCAGCUCCGCCUUCACCUUUCAUGGCUGAGCUGUCUUGGCAGUUUGACUCCUCUGCUGAAAGCCUGGCUGCUCUGAUUGGCUGAGACUCAGGUUCUUACCACAAGGCUGCACUUGCAACUCAGCCUCUCACCCUGCCUGGAGCUGCCAAAGAUCACCUUGAGCUCGAGGAUGAGGACCAUGUGCUGGAGCCAGACCCCAGAGGCGGGGAGACUUUCCCCGCUAAGGAUGCCUGAGUUCUGAGCUCAGCCAUGCCCGAACACCCCUGCUGUUGAACAACUCCUGCUUCCUACAUAAACUGCUAGGAUGCAGUAUGCACAGCAACUGAUGUCUGACUGAUUCUCUCUGAACCUCUAAGUCCUGGCACUAAGGGGCAGCACCUAAGGUCUCCCGAACAAGGCUGCUCAUUCUUGGAGAUUCCAAAUGUACUCCAACUGAGCUGUGAAGAGAUACCACGUGCCUGAGGACAGGCAAGCAAAAAAGAAUUCACAUAUGUGCAGACAACUCUUGUUGGUCAAGGUUGUGUUCCUUAGGAAGCUGUGCAUGGACCAGACUCUGCAAAUGCCCUUAUAGAAUGCCUAUUUAUAUACAUAUAAAUGCAUAUCUAUUACAUUACAACAUUGUUAUGUAAGUUCUUUUACAAUACAAAAAAUAUAACUAUGUGAUACACGGGCAACUAGAUGUAGAAUGAUCCCUUUUUUUCUUUUCAAGAGGCCUUGACUCAUAUUUUCCAGUAAAGCAAAGAGGCUGAGUAUCCACAGAGACAAGUUGACUUCUCAGUUUGCCUAGAAAGGUAUUCCCCCAAUACUUAUAAAGCACAAAGAGGGAGUUAAAGAUUAGUUCCCUUGUUGGCCCUACCAAAUGGAAGAUACUAUAUUCCAUUUUAGCAGGAGCAGGAUAUGGAAAUCGUCAAAAUUGUUAUUACAAAAAUGAAACAGUAAUAAGAUUCCAGCUAAAAGGACACUAAAUAAGAAUAUGUGAAUAUAUAUAUGUACUUAAAGAAUCCAAAACAAAGACUAUUAUAAAAAAGCUACACGUGCACCAUAAGCAUGUAGGUUUUCCUUCUCAUGUAUACUUUUGGACAAUGGGAUGGAUUGUCAAACAAACGGUCCACUGUGUCAGGUCACACACGUCAGUGUGUCAGGUCACACACGUCACUGUGUCAGGUCACACACGUCAGUGUGUCAGGUCAUACAUCAGUGUGUCAGGUCACACACAUCAGUGUGUGAGGUCACACGCAUCAGUGCGUCAGGUCACAUAUCUCUGUGUAAGGUCACGCCCUUCCCCAACCUCUUCAGAUUCUUCACUGAGCUCAGCACCUGCCGCCUUGCUCCCGCCGACCUGUCUCAUGCAUGCUGGCUACACUUCUGGGGGCUCUAUGCCUUAGACAAAAGUCCCGGUGGGAACAACUGCUUGAGGCCGCAAAAGUCUACUUGAAUGGCAGUUCCAGAGCAACACGUCUGAAGUCCGACCCCAUUCUCAUCUCCCUACUUUGCACUUUGCCGUUGCCAAGAGAGAAAAGGAACGUUUCUGUACUUACAUGGUUCAUAAAUGAAAGUUAAACGCAGAGCUAUGUGUGUCGCGUGCUAUUUGUUAAAAAUCUGUGGGGGCGGGGGCAGAGGUAAUUGCUGAUAAAGGUGUGUCAAAGCGAAAG